rnacentral:rRNA from 1 species
UGGGGAAUUUUGGACAAUGGGCGAAAGCCUGAUCCAGCAAUGCCGCGUGUGUGAAGAAGGCCUUCGGGUUGUAAAGCACUUUUGUCCGGAAAGAAAUCCUUGGCUCUAAUACAGUCGGGGGAUGACGGUACCGGAAGAAUAAGCACCGGCUAACUACGUGCCAGCAGCCGCGGUAAUACGUAGGGUGCAAGCGUUAAUCGGAAUUACUGGGCGUAAAGCGUGCGCAGGCGGUUUGCUAAGACCGAUGUGAAAUCCCCGGGCUCAACCUGGGAACUGCAUUGGUGACUGGCAGGCUAGAGUAUGGCAGAGGGGGGUAGAAUUCCACGUGUAGCAGUGAAAUGCGUAGAGAUGUGGAGGAAUACCGAUGGCGAAGGCAGCCCCCUGGGCCAAUACUGACGCUCAUGCACGAAAGCGUGGGGAGCAAACAGGAUUAGAUACCCUGGUAGUCCACGCCCUAAACGAUGUCAACUAGUUGUUGGGGAUUCAUUUCUUAGUAACGUAGCUAACGCGUGAAGUUGACCGCCUGGGGAGUACGGUCGCAAGAUUAAAACUCAAAUGAAUUGACGGGG